CAGGCCUAACACAUGCAAGUCGAACGGUAACAGGAAGCAGCUUGCUGCUUCGCUGACUAUUGGCGGACGGGUGAGUAAUGUCUGGGAAACUGCCUGAUGGAGGGGGAUAACUACUGGAAACGGUAGCUAAUACCGUAUAAUGUCCCAAGACCAAAGAGGGGGACCUUCGGGCCUCUUGCCAUCGGAUGUGCCCAGAUGGGAUUAGCUACUAGGUGGGGUAACGGCUCACCUAAGCGACGAUCCCUAGCUGGUCUGAGAGGAUGACCAGCCACACUGGAACUGAGACACGGUCCAUACUCCUACGGGAGGCAGCAGUGGGGAAUAUUGCACAAUGGGCGCAAGCCUGAUGCAGCCAUGCCGCGUGUAUGAAGAAGGCCUUCGGGUUGUAUAGUACUUUCAGCGGGGCAGGACGGUUAGCCCCUCUAUUCCCGUCUUCACCGCCGUUCCCCU
rnacentral:rRNA from 1 species